GCGGAUGUGGCGGAAUUGGUAGACGCGCGGCGUUCAGGUCGCCGUGGAGGUAACUCCGUGGAGGUUCGAGUCCUCUCAUCCGCA
rnacentral:tRNA from 3 species